rnacentral:rRNA from 1 species
AAAAAUGAGAGUUUGAUCCUGGCUCAGGACGAACGCUGGCGGCGUGCCUAAUACAUGCAAGUCGAGCGAGCAAUCUUAACGGAAUACUUCGGUAGGAAGUCAAGAGCGCGAGCGGCGGAUGGGUGAGUAACACGUGGGCAACCUGCCCUAUAGCUUGGGAUACCACUUGGAAACAGGUGCUAAUACCAAAUAAGCAGCAAGAGCGCAUGCUCAAGCUGGGAAAGGCGGCUUUAAAGCUGUCACUACAGGAUGGGCCCGCGGUGCAUUAGCUAGUUGGCAAGGUAACGGCCUACCAAGGCGAUGAUGCAUAGCCGAGUUGAGAGACUGACCGGCCACAUUGGGACUGAGACACGGCCCAAACUCCUACGGGAGGCAGCAGUAGGGAAUCUUCCACAAUGGACGCAAGUCUGAUGG